rnacentral:rRNA from 1 species
AGAGUUUGAUCAUGGCUCAGAACGAACGUUAGCGGCGCGCCUAAGACAUGCAAGUCGAGCGAGAAAGGGCUUCGGCCCCGGUAAAGCGGCGCACGGGUGAGUAACACGUAGGUUAUCUACCCUCGGGUGGCGGACAACCCUCCGAAAGGAGGGCUAAUACGGCAUGACGCCAGCAAUGGCCAAAGCGGGCCUCUCCAUGGAAGCUCGCGCCUGAGGUUGAGCCUGCGGCCCAUCAGCUUGUUGGUCGGGGUAACGGCCCACCAAGGCUAAGACGGGUAGCUGGUCUGAGAGGAUGAACAGCCACACUGGAACUGAGACACGGUCCAGACUCCUACGGGAGGCAGCAGUCGGGAAUCUUCCGCAAUGGGCGAAAGCCUGACGGAGCGACGCCGCGUGAGCGAUGAAGGCCUUCGGGUUGUAAAGCUCUGUGGGGAGAGAAGAAUAAGGGCAGGCCAAUACCCUGUUUGAUGACGGUAUCUCCUUAGCAAGCACCGGCUAACUCUGUGCCAGCAGCCGCGGUAAGACAGAGGGUGCAAACGUUGUUCGGAUUUACUGGGCGUAAAGCGCGUGUAGGCGGCUUGGUAAGUCGGAUGUGAAAGCCCACGGCUCACCCGUGGAAGUGCAUUCGAAACUGCUUCGCUUGAGUCUCGGAGAGGAAGGUGGAAUGCUUGGUGUAGAGGUGAAAUUCGUAGAUAUCAAGCAGAACACCUGCGGCGAAGGCGGCCUUCUGGACGAUGACUGACGCUGAGACGCGAAAGCGUGGGGAGCAAACAGGAUUAGAUACCCUAGUAGUCC